rnacentral:rRNA from 1 species
CCUACGGGGGGCAGCAGUGGGGAAUAUUGCACAAUGGGGGAAACCCUGAUGCAGCAACGCCGCGUGAGUGAUGACGGCCUUCGGGUUGUAAAGCUCUGUCUUCAGGGACGAUAAUGACGGUACCUGAGGAGGAAGCCACGGCUAACUACGUGCCAGCAGCCGCGGUAAUACGUAGGUGGCGAGCGUUGUCCGGAUUUACUGGGCGUAAAGGGAGCGUAGGCGGACUUUUAAGUGAGAUGUGAAAUACUCGGGCUCAACUUGAGUGCUGCAUUUGAAACUGUGUUUCUUGAGUACUGGAGAGGCAG